UUGUCAACUCGUUGAGCUUGUUUGUCGAUUAUAUGCAUGUGCAUGAAGUGUGUUUUAUAUCCAUGGAUGGUUCAUGGUACAUCCUAGCAAAUAGAUCUUAUGUGGCUAUCAGAUUUUGGGUGAGAUUGUUCUCUGUUUCUGUGCCUUAACUGUUUAGCAAAAUACUGUUUCCCAUACUAAUAUGAAGUUCAAAUGGAUUUUUCAGGUGGAGGAGAAAGUGAAGCAUGCUGUGUGCCCUCUUCCGAAGCAUGUAAUACACCGUAUCCAUGAACUGGCUGCCAUUCAUCCAUAUCCAAGGAAGAGAAUCUCAAAAUUUUCAUAUACCAGCCAAGUUACCUCACCAACACUGCCCCUCAUCCCCAAGGGUUAUCCUCUUAGUCUUCAUGGCAGAAAUGUGCGGAGGAAGAACCUGUAAAUGAAAAGCAGUUGCCAUGGGCUGUGCAUAUACAUGUUAGCAGAUCAGUUGAAGGAUCUGGACGCAGAAGGUUGUGAGUGUUUACGAGUGGGUCUAAAUUCCCAAUUUUAAUAGCUGGAUAUUUGGCUAUUGAUGUUGAAAUUAGAAAAGCUUUUUAACUUUCAGGCCUUUUUUCUCCCUGGAGCAUGGCUGCAAAUUUUGUUUCUUCAGUUUUUCCAGUAUGCCCUGCCUGAGAGGCACUCAACGUUUCUAUGUCAGAUCGAAUUGUUGUCUAGAAUGAGUGAUAAACCAUGGAGCCAAAGGUUCUGUGAAGCAUUGUGUCAUUUCCGUAGUUACCAUGAUAUUUUGGUGCGCAAUCCAAUAUUAUUUGGUGCUUUUCCGAAGAAAAGAAAACUAUUUUUUUUUUUU